UUGAACGCUGGCGGCAGGCCUAACACAUGCCAGUCGAGCGGAUGAAGGGAGCUUGCUCCUGGAUUCAGCGGCGGACGGGUGAGUAAUGCCUAGGAAUCUGCCUGGUAGUGGGGGAUAACGUCCGGAAACGGGCGCUAAUACCGCAUACGUCCUGAGGGAGAAAGUGGGGGAUCUUCGGACCUCACGCUAUCAGAUGAGCCUAGGUCGGAUUAGCUAGUUGGUGGGGUAAAGGCCUACCAAGGCGACGAUCCGUAACUGGUCUGAGAGGAUGAUCAGUCACACUGGAACUGGAAGACGGUCCAGACUCCUACGGGAGGCAGCAGUGGGGAAUAUUGGACAAUGGGCGAAAGCCUGAUCCAGCCAUGCCGCGUGUGUGAAGAAGGUCUUCGGAUUGUAAAGCACUUUAAGUUGGGAAGAAGGGCAGUAAGUUAAUACCUUGCUGUUUUGACGUUACCAACAGAAUAAGCACCGGCUAACUUCGUG
rnacentral:rRNA from 1 species